rnacentral:rRNA from 1 species
UACGAAGGGGGCUAGCGUUGCUCGGAAUGACUGGGCGUAAAGCGUGCGCAGGCGGCUUCUCAAGUCAGGGGUGAAAGCCCAGAGCUCAACUCUGGAAUUGCCUUUGAGACUGAGUGGCUUGAGUACGGGAGAGGUGAGUGGAAUUCCCAGUGUAGAGGUGAAAUUCGUAGAUAUUGGGAAGAACACCGGUGGCGAAGGCGGCUCACUGGCCCGUAACUGACGCUCAUGCACGACAGCGUGGGGAUCAAACAGG